rnacentral:rRNA from 1 species
AGAGUUUGAUCCUGGCUCAGGACGAACGCUGGCGGCGUGCUUAACACAUGCAAGUCGAACGGGGUGUGCCGGGUAGUAAUACCUUGUACAUCUAGUGGCGAACGGGUGCGUAACACGUGAGUAACCUACCCCGAAGUCUGGAAUAACACCGGGAAACCGAUGCUAAUACCAGAUGCCCUCCUCUGAUCGCAUGAUCGGUUGAGGAAAGUUUUUCGCUUCGGGAGGGGCUCGCGGCCCAUCAGCUUGUUGGUGAGGUAACGGCUCACCAAGGCUUCGACGGGUAGCUGGUCUGAGAGGACGAUCAGCCACACUGGGACUGAGACACGGCCCAGACUCCUACGGGAGGCAGCAGUGGGGAAUAUUGCGCAAUGGGCGAAAGCCUGACGCAGCAACGCCGCGUGGAGGACGAAUGCCUUUUGGUUGUAAACUCCUUUCAGCAGGAACGAAAUUGACGGUACCUGCAGAAGAAGCCCCGGCCAACUACGUGCCAGCAGCCGCGGU